GUGGUGGUAUCAUAAACAUUUUAUCGUCAUAUCCUUGAAAAUCUCAAGAGACAUUUUUGUCAAACACAUUUUAACAAUCAUGCUGUUUCUGCUUCACUGGACAGGUGAAAUUAAGUUAAACUGAGUCUCAAGGACUGUCUUGAAGAAUAAAAUAAGUCAUAGCACUACUAUAGCUCAAAUAAUGUCAUAAAUAGAAAGAACCAGUUUCAUCUGCCUUGUCUCCAUGACAGGAAGUUUUAAGGCUGGUUGCAUCCUAUAUGAGCCUCAAUUUUUUUGACCAACUGGUAAAGCUGCCUUUUCCUCCACUUCCAUAUAUACUUUUAUAGAAGAUGUAUAUUUUCUUAUAGAAUAGCAAAGAGAUCAAAUCAGGGAUGAACUGGACUUUACAAAUAUUGUAACAGUAAAUCAUAAUCAUAAUUUGAUUCAAGGAUCUUUCAAAAUUAGAGAAUGCCAGUUAUUGAAAGCUGCUAUCUAGAUACCGACAAUAUACCAAUAUACCAUUACAAUGUUUCUACUGCUUCAAAACGGUCUAACCCAAACUGCCAACAAAAGUACUGUCAUUUUAAAUACUGUAUCACUCAAACUGCAAUCCUACUAACAACCCACAUGUUUUGCAACUCCCCCUUAGGCAAUAUAAUUAUUAUUACCCAUUGGGUGUAUAACAUGAGUAACAUGCUGAGCUAAACAACUUUAUUAGGAUCUUCUCAUUAAUUCUCCUUAACAACUCUGGCAGGUAGUUACUAUUAUUAUGUGCAUUUUACAGAGAUUAAGCAACUUGCCUGUGGUCAUCCAGCUAGUAAAUGAUGAAGGAAACGUUUGAAACCUAGUAGCCUAAAUUGAGCCCUUUCUUUUAAAGCAGAGACACAAAUGUAGUAUUUGUUUAUUUAAGAACUGGUAAGGAAACUUUUCCUAGGAAACAUGGUUGAAUGAUUCACUUAAGUAUAGUUAAUUUUUUUCCAGUUUGAAGCCACUAGAUGGCAAUAUUUUCAAAAGUUUUUUUUUCUUCUUGAGUUGAAAAAGUAACUACAGUAUUAGUGACUGGUUUUCUGUGAAAAAAUUAUUUAUCUUUGAUUUGCCAAAUUAUAACUAUUUUUUGUAGUAAAGUUUUUCAGUGAUAUAAUGAUGUAAUGUGACCAUAGCAGUUUGAAGUGGGACAAAAAUUGGAGUGUUUUGUGCUAUUUUGUUUACUUUUUGUUUUACUUUAGUUUGAGGUUGAAGAGAAGUUCCUAGAAACUUAAAAUUUCUUCCUGGAGUCUUCCCUCAUGCUACAACACUGCCAUCAAGUCCUUGUUGUUUAAUAUCAAACAUGACAAACACUUACUUUUCAGAAAAACAUUGUGCUAUAACAAACUUUAGUGACUUUAAAAAUAUAAUUUGCAUUGCCUGGAAUGUACCACUCCUCUUUUACAUCAUACAUUCUUGUAUAUCUUUUAAAUCCUAACUUACAUAUGUAUCUUUUUCCUCUGUGAUGUCCCUUCCACAAGCACAGGCAGACUCUUCUAACAGCACCACCUCAGUCCCAUACCAUUUGAGGCUUUGAUACAUUAUACAUGUCCUAAUGAUAUACUUACGUGUUUAUCCUCCCACUCCUUUGGGAGCACCUCAAAGGCAGUCUUUUAAAAAUUGAUAUAUGGGGCCAGGCGCGGUGGCUCACGCCUCUAAUCUCAGCACAUUGGGAGGCCAAGGCGGGCAGAUGACAACGUCAAGAGAUGGAGACCCCCCUGGCUAACAUGGUGAAACCCCAUCUCUACUGAAAAAAAUACAAAAAUAUUAGCUGAGCGUUGUGGCGGUCACCUGUAGUCCCAGCUACACAUGAGGCUGACUCAGGAGAAUGGCGUGGACCCGGGAGCUUGCAGUGAGCUGAGAUCGCGCCACUGCACUCCAGUCUGGGCAACAGAGCGAGACUCCCUCUCAAAAAAAAAAAAAAA
ensembl:lncRNA